UUUAACUGAAGAGUUUGAUCAUGGCUCAGAUUGAACGCUGGCGGCAGGCUUAACACAUGCAAGUCGAGCGGGGGGAG
rnacentral:rRNA from 1 species